UCAAUGGAACAAGUUACCCCAGGGAUAACAGCGCAAUCCUAUUUAAGAGCCCAUAUCAACAAUUAGAGUUUACGACCUCAAUGUUGGAUCAGGACACCCAAAUGGUGUAGCCGCUAUUAAAGGUUCGUUUGUUCAAUGAUUAAAGUCCUAUGUGAUCUGAGUUCAGACCAGAGAAAUCCAGGUCAGU
rfam:Monodelphis domestica chromosome 7, whole genome shotgun sequence.